ACAUCCGGAAAACCUUACCCGAAACGGAAAGGGUGCCCUUCGGGGAAGUUCCGAGACAGGUGCUGCAUGGCUGUCGUCAGCUCGUGCCGUGAGGUGUUGGGUUAAGUCCCGCAACGAGCGCAACCCUACUUGCCAGUUGCUACCAGGUAAUGCUGGGCACUCUGGUGAGACUGCCCGGUUAACGGGGAGGAAGGUGGGGACGACGUCAAGUCAUCAUGGCCCUUACGCCUAGGGCUACACACGUACUACAAUGGCGCAUACAAAGGGCAGCGAUACCGCGAGGUGGAGCCAAUCCCAAAAAGUGCGUCCCAGUCCGGAUUGCAGUCUGCAACUCGACUGCAUGAAGUUGGAAUCGCUAGUAAUUCGAGAUCAGCAUGCUCGGGUGAAUGCGUUCCCGGGCCUU
rnacentral:rRNA from 1 species